rnacentral:rRNA from 1 species
GGCGAACGGGUGAGGAACACGUGAGAAACCUGCCUUUCAUUUUGGGAUAACUCCGGGAAACCGGGGCUAACACCGAAUACUCCGUCUCGGCGGCAUCGCUGAGCCGGGAAAAAAUUUUGAUGAAAGAUGGUCUCGCGGCCUAUCAGCUAGUUGGUGAGGUAAUGGCUCACCAAGGCAACGACGGGUAGCCGGCCUGAGAGGGCGACCGGCCACACUGGGACUGAGACACGGCCCAGACUCCUACGGGAGGCAGCAGUGGGGAAUAUUGGGCAAUGGGCGCAAGCCUGACCCAGCGACGCCGCGUGAGGGAUGAAGGCCUUCGGGUUGUAAACCUCUUUCAGUAGGGAAGAAGCGAAAGCGACGGUACCUAAAGAAGAAGCACCGGCUAACUAUGUGCCAGCAGCCGCGGCAAUACAUAGGGUGCAAGCGUUGUCCGGAAUUAUUGGGCGUAAAGAGCUCGUAGGUCGUGUGCCGCGUCGAUUGUGAAAAUCUGAGGCUCAACCUCAGACCUGCAGUCGAUACGGGCAAACUAGAGUGUGGUAGGGGAGACUGGAAUUCCUGGUGUAGCGGUGGAAUGCGCAGAUAUCAGGAGGAACACCAAUGGCGAAGGCAGGUCUCUGGGCCAUAACUGACACUGAGGAGCGAAAGCGCGGGGAGCGAACAGGAUU